UGGGUAAUUUUGGACAAUGGGGGCAACCCUGAUCCAGCAAUGCCGCGUGAGUGAAGAAGGCCUUCGGGUUGUAAAGCUCUUUUGUCAGGGAAGAAACGGUGAGGGCUAAUAUCCUUUGCUAAUGACGGUACCUGAAGAAUAAGCACCGGCCAACUACGUGCCAGCAGCCGCGGUAAUACGUAGGGUGCAAGCGUUAAUCGGAAUUACUGGGCGUAAAGCGUGCGCAGGCGGUUAUGUAAGUCAGAUGUGAAAUCCCCGGGCUCAACCUGGGAAUGGCAUUUGAGACUGCAGGGCUAGAGUGUGUCAGAGGGGGGUAGAAUUCCACGUGUAGCAGUGAAAUGCGUAGAGAUGUGGAGGAAUACCGAUGGCGAAGGCAGCCCCCUGGGAUAACACUGACGCUCAUGAACGAAAGCGUGGGGAGCAAACAGG
rnacentral:rRNA from 1 species